rnacentral:rRNA from 1 species
AUUGAACGCUGGCGGCAGGCCUAAUACAUGCAAGUCGAACGGUAACAUAAAAGAAGCUUGCUCUUUUGAUGACGAGUGGCGGACGGGUGAGUAAUAUUUGGGAAACUACCUGAUAGAGGGGGGACAACAGUUGGAAACGACUGCUAAUACCGCAUAAAGCCUGAGGGUGAAAGCAGCAAUGCGCUAUCAGAUGUGCCCAAACGGGAUUAGCUAGUAGGUGAGGUAAAGGCUCACCUAGGCGACGAUCUCUAGCUGGUCUGAGAGGAUGAUCAGCCACAUUGGGACUGAGACACGGCCCAGACUCCUACGGGAGGCAGCAGUAGGGAAUAUUGCACAAUGGAGGAAACUCUGAUGCAGCCAUGCCGCGUGUGUGAAGAAGGCCUUCGGGUUGUAAAGCACUUUCGGAGGGGAGGAAAAGAUGACGUUACCCUCAGAAGAAGCACCGGCUAACUCCGUG